AGUGGGGAAUCUUGCACAAUGGACGAAAGUCUGAUGCAGCAACGCCGCGUGGGGGAUGAAGCUUUUCGGAGUGUAAACCCCUUUCGACCCGGAAGAAUGCCCGCAAGGGUUUGACGGUACGGGUAUAAGAAGCCCCGGCUAACCUCGUGCCAGCAGCCGCGGUAAUACGAGGGGGGCGAGCGUUGGUCGGAAUUAUUGGGCCUAAAGGGUGCGUAGGCGGUUUGGUAAGUCUUGGGUGAAAUCUUCGGGCUCAACUCGAAGUCUGCAUGAGAAACUGCCGGGCUUGAGUAUGGGAGAGGUGAGUGGAAUUCCCGGU
rnacentral:rRNA from 1 species